AUGUUAGUUACCAUACUCCUCCGCAACAGCUGGACCGAUUUUUAUGAAAUUUUGUGUGCAUAUCUGGUAGGUCUGAGAAUCGAACAACAUCUAUUUUUCAUCCACCUAAAUGCUAAGGGUAGUCCACUACUAAAUUGUUUUUUUAAUUUUUAGAUAAAUUAUUUAUUUUUUAUUUUAUU